rnacentral:lncRNA from 1 species
UAGCUCUUCCUUCGUUACCUGUGACAAACCGUCCAAAACAAUCAGAUUUAUUGAAAAAUUAGGUUAGUGUCGAUUUGGCCUCAGUAUUAUCUCAAACCAGAUAAAUGAGUCUACUCAAUAAAUUUAUUUACCUUAAGAGAGGAAUUGAGUUGAAUGGGUCAGACAAGUUGCAAGUCAUCCACAAUAUUUAUUAUUUAAUGCAGGUCUACGCUCUUUAACUUAUUAUGUAAUAUAUAAUAAGCAACAAAUUGCAUACUUCAGUAAGAAAUGAUAAGUAUCUU